GGAUUAGAUACCCUGGUAGUCCACGCCGUAAACGAUGAGUGCUAGCUGAUGGAGGUCUAUACCCUUUCAUUGGCGAAGCUAACGCAUUAAGCACUCCGCCUGGGGACUACGGCCGCAAGGCUAAAACUCAAAGGAAUUGACGGGGGCCCGCACAAGCAGUGGAGUAUGUGGUUUAAUUCGACGCAACGCGCAGAACCUUACCCGGCCUUGACAUCCUUGGAAUCACUCCGAAAAGAGUGAGUGCCACCGCAAGGUGGAGCCAAGUGACAGGUGCUGCAUGGCUGUCGUCAGCUCGUGCUG
rnacentral:rRNA from 1 species